rnacentral:ncRNA from 1 species
UAACCGUAGUAAUUCUAGAGCUAAUACGUGCAACAAACCCCGACUUUUGGGAGGGGCGCAUUUAUUAGAUAAAAGGCUGACGUGGGCUCUGCUCGCUGAUCCGAUGAUUCAUGAUAACUCGACGGAUCGCAUGACCUUUGUGCCGGCGACGCAUCAUUCAAAUUUCUGCCCUAUCAACUUUCGAUGGUAGGAUAGGGGCCUACCAUGGUGGUGACGGGUGACGGAGAAUUAGGGUUCGAUUCCGGAGAGGGAGCCUGA